AUUACUCGGGACGGUUUCUUCAGAGUGACGAGAGGGUCCGUGGAAAACGUGCAAUUCUACGCGUACAACAACACAAGAAUUAAUAGUAACAAUACAACAUACUAAUAAUAAAAUAAAAUAACAAAAUAUUACUCAUACAAUGAACUAUGCUAAAUAUUCUCGGAAUAAUUUCUCUUCCCAAAUAAUGUUCAUGCUUGGGAGCCGAUUUUAUGAACAUCGGACAAGUAUCACAGUACUACUUUUGCAGUGAAUUAACGAUACGCACAAAAUCUAUUGGCGCAUACCCAUAUUUUCUUACGAUUUACGACUAUUUACUUUAUUUACUGACAUAGCAUUUAUUCAUUUCAUUGUAUGUAAGUAUUUCGUUUGUUUUCGUUAACAUAAUUUUCAUUAGGCGAAUCAAUCAUCAUGGAAAACCUAUUUUCAUCGAUAAAUUUCACAGUAAAAUUACAGUAUUACUAUAACAACGCGAAUGGGGGAUUUCUGUUAUAGUCAGUCUUGAAUUUCUAGAUCGGUAAAGUAGUUUGAUUUGGGCUACGAAAGCCGGAUACAUUCUUCACGUGGAAAUAAUAAAAAUGUUCAUAAAACGUGUGACCUUUAACACUUUGUCUUUUAUUGAGUCAUAUUUAAGCAAUGAACAGGUGAAUAUGAAAUGAAUAACCAUGAUAUGAGUCAAGGUAACUCUGUAAUUUACUGAUAAGCCCGGAUGGGACAAGACAGAAAACGAAAAAUGAGGGAGAAUAUAAUAAGGAUAAUGUAUUGAUAAGCAUGCAUUAGCAUAAAAUAGUGAAACAUAGAAUGAUAUGAUAAAACAAUGUAACAAAC